AUUGAACGCUGGCGGCAUGCCUUACACAUGCAAGUCGAACGGUAGAGUAGCAAUACUCGAGAGUGGCGAACGGGUGAGUAAUAUAUCGGAACGUGCCCAGUCGUGGGGGAUAACGUAGAGAAAUUUACGCUAAUACCGCAUACGAUCUAAGGAUGAAAAGCGGGGGAUUCGCAAGAACCUCGCGCGAUUGGAGCGGCUGAUAUCAGAUUAGGUGUUGGUGAGGUAAAAGCUCACCAAGCCGACGAUCUGUAGCUGGUUUGAGAGAACGACCAGCCACACUGGGACUGAGACACGGCCCAGACUCCUACGGGAGGCAGCAGUGGGAAUUUUGGACAAUGGGCGAAAGCCUGAUCCAGCAAUGCCGCGUGCAGGAAGAAGGCCCUUGGGUU
rnacentral:rRNA from 1 species